GGCGCUGUGCUCAGGGACACAGGUGCCAGACCAGUGCACAAAACCCAAUUGAGUUAUGUAGCAGGCAGCAAGGCCCUCGGAUUCAUGAUUCUGCCUGCAUGGGGAAUUGCACGCGUUAUGUGGCAGCAGCCACUUUAUUAAAUAUCGAUUUAAAUCACAGCCUUUAAUCAAAUCUGAUAGAAGACCUUUCUCACCUCCUGUCUCUCCUCCCCCUCCUCAUGUCUUCCCAUUGCUCCCCCCUCUCCCCCAGCCCUCCCCAGUCCUCGCCUGUCUCACACGGGUCUGCCUGAUGACAGCAAAGCUCAGGAAUGAAUAGUUAGUAAGUAGUUCAACAGCAAACCCUUAUCAACAGUAAUGAGGCAUUUGCGAUAAUCGAGUGAUGAAAUGUAAAUGGGCAGUAAUGAGCACAAUUACAUCCACCGGGGAACCAUCAAAGCUGCUUCUUCCCCCGCAGAUGGAUGGGCUCUCUCACUGUGGCUGUCCAUCGCUGCCUCUGCUCUGAGCGCGGCAUGGAUGCGGCACCGGUGGGAAGAGCGGGAUCUGGCCGUGCCUUGAUGGAGGAGCCUGCUGCCCAGGUGGAAGCCAGGCUCUCUCUGAGCUUAUUCCACCUUUGAUGGGUGACUCAGACUGGCUUUCAGCUGGAAAGAGCCAAGAAAUGGGACGGUUGCCAGGGAACAGGCCUGAUGGCAGAUUAUGUCAUCCUCGCCGGCAAGGGACCAGUGGGGAAGAACACCGAACUGCUCGGGAAAGGGGGAAAGUCGGCGUUUCCGUAAUCCAGCCAGGAAACAUUAACAGAUCCCAGAAACUGCUCACUAAGUCGGCGUUUCCGUAAUCCAGCCAGGAAACGUUAGCAGAUCCCAGAAACUGCUCACCCAGAAAUAAACACAUCAAACUGCGUAAUCUGGCCCAGUUACUCAGUUUAUCCUGGAUAAUUUGUGCAACUAAAUAGUG
rnacentral:lncRNA from 12 species